GACGAACGCUGGCGGCGUGCCUAAUACAUGCAAGUAGAACGCUGAAGCGAGGAGCUUGCUCUUCUUGGAUGAGUUGCGAACGGGUGUGUAACGCGUAGGUAACCUGCCUUGUAGCGGGGGAUAACUAUUGGAAACGAUAGCUAAUACCGCAUAACAAUGGAUGACACAUGUCAUUUAUUUGAAAGGGGCAAUUGUUCCACUACAAGAUGGACCUGCGUUGUAUUAGCUAGUAGGUGAGGUAAUGGCUCACCUAGGCGACGAUACAUAGCCGAACUGAGAGGGUGAUCGGCCACACUGGGACGGAGACACGGCCCAGACGCCUACGGGAGGCAGCAGUAGGGAAUCGUCGGCAAUGGGUGCAACCCUGACCGAGCAACGCCGCGUGAGUGAAGAAGGUUUUCGGAUCGUAAAGCUCUGUUGUAAGUCAAGAACGGGUGUGAGAGUGGAAAGUUCACACUGUGACGGUAGCUUACCAGAAAGGGACGGCUAACUACGUG
rnacentral:rRNA from 1 species